rnacentral:lncRNA from 1 species
UGCCAUCAACUCGAUCAAGUGCCAGUCCCAAAUAAAGCCUGAACAAAAGUAUAAAUAUUAACAAAGUGGGGUAAAUAUAAUUAUGCGGUUGUAUAUAUUGAUUUUCAUUCACGUGUGGGGCGUUGCAACUCUAUAACUUGCAUGCCCAAAAUAGGACCAUUUAUGGUGAGUGCCUAAACCAAAGUAUCACAUUGCAAAAAUGUUCAAAACACUCCCAUGAACUCAGAAAAUGACGAGGAUACAAAUUGGAAAAAAAAUACAGGGAAAAAAAAAACUCAUGCACACUUUUGACUGAUACUCUAUGUGAAACAGAAAGGCAUGUCUCAGUGUCUAUUAUUAUUAGCAAACUGGUUAAAGAGUCCCAAUGCAUUGCUGGUGACCUGAACAACAUUCGCAACCUGAGCCGUAACCGAAUCCUUCACCUUACCAUUCAUGGACUUGUCAGCAAACCCAUCAAGACAAGUGUUACCAUUGGUCAAAGCAGUACUAGCCCAGGUUUGAACGUUGUUUAUGUGGAACAAAAAGUCCCGACUCUUGACUCGGCCCAAGUUCUUCAUCUCCUGAACCGAUUUGCUGAGCCGGUCCACGGAGUCAUCCAUUAAUUCCAAGCAGUCCGCAAUUGCUCUAUACUCCUUGGGCUUCAAGUUCUUGAAUCUGUUCAAUUGCACUGAUUUCAAGCUACAAUUUGUACUGAUGUAUCACCUAAACAUGUGUUCUCUUUCAACAUUACCAAUUACUUGGUUCUUAAUAUUAAACACCGAACUCUUCAAUAUAACUCCUAAACAUAAACCUAUCAACAAAUAGCUAAAAUAUCCCACCAAAAAAAAAUCAGUAGAAACUACAAUCCAGCAAGUAUUUCAUAAAUAAAAAAUUAAAAAUAUUAAAAGAAGAAAAACUCUAGAACUAAUAAUAUGAAGAAAUAUGGAAACAGAGGGAGAGAUAGAAAGUAAAAAGAUACUAUAUAACUAUAGAGUGAGAAAUAUUUUGAUUUAAAUUUUUAACAAAGAAUUAAACUAUUUAUUUCAUGCAAUUCAAUGGUGGAGGGUAUAACAUUAUGAAAUAUUACUUUGACUUUCAAUAUCAACCAUUAGACUAUGAGAUUUUAGUGGCUUAAAUAUUGUGUCAAAAUUUUAAGUUAAAGUAUCCCAAACCAUAUCUUUAUAAUGGAAAUAUAAAAACAUACAAUGAUUUUUUUUCCACAUUUUGUCCAUUAAAUAUUAUUUGAUGUGAUAUUUUAUUUAUUGUCACUAUUAAUUAUCAUAAUAAAAGUAAUGACUCUUCGUAACAUAAAAAUUUUAUAAUUACUAUCAAAGAAUAACAAUAAACUAAUCUUUCAUGAUUCAUAAACUAAAGUUAAUUAGGAAAAUGUGUUAGAUUUAACUUUUAGGAAAUUAACAAAGUGACAUUUGAAAAUAAAAUGAAAACAAGCUUGUGAAAGUUAAAUUUUAUAAGGUUUAGAUAAUUUCUUACCAUUUCAAUAAAAUAUAAAAAUAUAAAAGAUUUUCUUUUACAUUAUUUCUCACGUAAAUAUUGUUGAAGGCAAUAUUUUAUUUAUUGUCACUAUUAACUAUCAUAACAAAAAUAAUGACUCUUAGUAACAUACAAUUUUAUAAUUAUAAUCGAAUGAUAUCAAUAAAAUAAUCUUUUAUGAUUCAUAAACUAAAACUCAUUAGGAAUAUAUAUUAAAUUUAACUUUUAUGAAAUUAACAAAGUGAUAUUUGAAAAUAAAAUGAAAAUAUAUAGGCUUGUAAAACUUAAAAUUCCUACCAUGUAAGAAUAUUAAUUGAAAGAUAAACAUAAAGUUCAGAGAAUAAGUAUAUUACAUGGGUGUUAAAAAUAAUAUAUAAUUCAUGAUAAAUUAUACAAUGACCCUUAAUAUUAUAUAAAAUAAAGAAUAUUUUACUAUACGAUAUUAACUUUUACUAAAACAUGUGUGAUCAAGUAUUUUUUUUAUGUUACAAGCAAUCUCACCAAUGAGUUCAUUGAUAUAACUAUAACAUUUACUUAAGUACAUGUACUUAGUUGUGUUAUUUAUUAGUUUUAUAUCAUAUAUAAAAUUUUCAAUUACAACUUAUUUAUUUGAUUUGUGUUAAAUAAUCUACUAUUAUAUCUUAUACUUAAUGGUAAAUAAUUUUGGAAGAUUUAUUUUAAAAAAAGUUAUCACAUUUUAAAUUUAACGGAGGAUUGAAAAAUAAUUUUAAAUAAAAUAUACUAUUUAAGUGAAAUUAUUUCAAACUCUAACGGUAGUCAUAAUUAUUUUACAAAAUUCUCUACACGGUUAACAAACUGUUUAUCAUUGUUUUUAAUUUUUUUACUACAAAUUUUGUGUACCAUUGAUUAAAUUCAAUGGUACACAAUUAAAACAUUAUUGAUACUGUAAAAAAAUUACAGCAUCGUAGAGGAACCCUUCAUUUAUAUAUUUUUAAUCUAAACCAAAAGCAUGAUGGGUUUCACAGGUUUCCAAUUCCUUCAAAAUUGUUUUUAUUUAAUAAUGAAACGAAUCACAGCCGUUGGAUUCACUCUAUUUAGUCAAAUGGUGAUUUGGAUAUUAAUCAAUUAAUUAAAUGAAAAACAACCAUUAAUUUUUUUAUUUAAAAAUUAGUUACGGAUGGAGAGAGAAGAAACUUAACAGAAUCAUAAAAAGUAAAAAUUCAUUUGAAAAUAUGAGAAUAUUGUUUUAUUUUAUUUCAUUUCAAUGAAAUAAUCGUCUCCAACCUUUGACGGUGACCUUUCACUGUAAACAUUCACUACAAUCUGUUUGUUACUCAAUAUCAUAUACAUUCUCCAAUUUCUUAGUUUUGAGUGUCACUCUCGCUCUUCACCUUCUCAUUUUUCCCUGUCGCUUUCUUGUUCGUCAUUUUCUCCAGAAAACCAAACACGGUAAUGCCAAAUUGGAUCAAUUCAGCGAUCUUCUUUUUUUCUCGGUGGAGAACUUUUAGUUUUGGAAUUAGCCUCGGAGCAGCCAACAGAAAAGAGACAAGCACGCGUGCUAUUGGAACGAAUUUUGUAACAACGACGAAUGAGAGGCAAGCAAUGACGAGUUGUAUCUGCUUAUUCUGCGCCGCCAGACGCCGAUUUUCGACAGAGGCGGCUUGUCCUGUCUUGCUCUGUUUCGCACAUGCGAGCAUGCCAAGCCUGGCGUUGUUUUUGAGAGAGUGCGAGGCAGAGCCAAUUGAAUCAGCGAACAGCCUACUACAGCGGAGCAUGACGGGAGAGAGAGUUGAAAUCAUACUCUCGUUGCUCAACUCGAGAGAGAAGAACUUUUGAAAUUUUAUUUCAAAUUCUUCCCUCUUUAUGUAUUUUCCUUAAAAUUUCCUCAACUCGAGCCGCAUCAGUCAUGUUGUCAAACCUGACCAAUAUUUAUGGUGAAAAGAGCACAAUUUACAUAUAUUAUCUUAUAUUGAAAUGUAAAUGUAUGCCUCCAUAAGAAACAAUGUCCACUUUUAGAGAUACUUGCAAUAUUCCUUAAAAAGUUGAAACGUAGAUCACAUGAAAACUAACAAAUAAUAAGAAAUGACUAAAAUCAACAUUAAAACUGCUGCCGAUAAAACAGAGAGUGAUAAUAAUAUAAAUUGAUUAGUAUUAUCAAAUCACAAGCUAGAUGUGAAUUGGACAUGAAUUACAUUACAAAGCUACCACGACUCCAAAUCAAAACCUUACAUUUAAACAUCGUUCACUAUCAUUCAGUUAUAAAUAAUGUUGAUUUUAAUGAAAAUGAACAAUCGAAUAAGCGGAUUUAGAUUUAAAAAGUUAAAAUAAAAUAAAAUAAAAUAACCAAAAAUUAAAUAAAGAUGCACGCAAUAAUAGAAAUCACCAAGAGAUUAAGACGAUAGGACAUUCAAUUUCACCAGAACCAAUUCAAUUUAAUCCUCUAUCUAUGCUAUUAAAGUUUAUUACCCACAUUGACAGUGAAUUUCCCUAAUUGUUUCAAUAUUCUCUCUCGAGUAAUAUCAAAAAUAUCUUCACAUAUCAACACAAUAUAUCUUUAUGUGAAUUUAAAUAUGCAAAGAUUUAUUAAACUCCACGAAAAUUUUUAGAAAAAUUGUACAAAUCACGUUAGCACAUCUCUAUCUUUCAUUCAAUUCAUGGCAUCCAUUACACAAGGUAAAAAUACAUAAAUCUCUUCUCGGUCACAUUAUAUAUUCUCAAAUCAUUUAAAUAUUGGUCAGGUAUUUAAAAGCAUUAAGCACAAUAAUGAACAUUCAACCAUGAAAUAAUAAAUUAAAAAUAAUACAGAUUUAUGAAAUUAAAAUUUUAUAAUUAGGCUACAUCGUAGCCCUAGUAAAAUAAAUUAUUUCUUAGGAAUAUAAAAAAAAUCCAUAAACAUUGUAGGAAACAUUUAAGUAAGAAAAUAGAGAAGAGAAAAAGAAAAACUCAUGAAUUAAUCUCACCUCCUGCACUGGAUCUCUUGCGACUGCUGCUUCUUUUAAUUCGGUCCUGUGUUGCUUCCGCUUGGCCGUUCCCUUCUUCUCUUGCGGCUUCUAGCCGUGCCCUUUAUAAUGCUUCAAUUGUGGCCUUUAACACCUUAUAUGGAAAGAAAUAAAAACAAAAGCCAAAUCUCCUCUUUUUAAUUCCAAGUUUGAAUUAUUACAUUUAGUAAUAUUCUCUUCCACAAGUCGUGCACAUGCUUGCCAUUAAUAGCCAAUGCCAAAAUAUUUGCUUUCUCAAUUGAUCACAAUAUCUGCUCUCCACGUGCAUGCCAUAUUUGUCAACCAAAUAUUCAAAGCUUCCCCACGUGAUUACAUGCAUGAUGAUUAAAUUCAAUCUUCCUUGAUUUGUUUCAAUUAAAUAAUCUUUUUAUUGCUUUUCAUUUUUUAUUCCUUCAAGUAGAUUUCUUCUUUAAUCUUCUAAUUUAUUUUUUUUAAUCACAAAUUAUUCAUAAAAUAAAAAAUAUAAAAAUUAAUAUAAUAAAAUAUAAUUUAACAUAAAAUUAAGUUAAAUAAGUAUUAAAAUAAUAUAUAAAUUAUGAGCACAUAAAAAACAUAUACAAUAUUAACGUUUUGUAGUUAUUUUUUAAAUUAUAGAAACUAACAAGAAUAUUUAUCCUAAAAAAGUAGAGCAUCUUAACAAGCGGAUGCCAUCCUACUAUUAGAAGAGAAGCCGCGGUAGUACAUUUAUUAGUGCUUUUUUAAGAUCUACUUUAGUAAACCCUCGAUACGACAACUCGCCGUUCACGGUGUUUCUUUUUUUUACAUUUGUCCCCCAGUCAAUAAGGCAACAACAGUUUACUGCUCUUCUUAAGUAGCAUUGAAGUCAUGGCCAACACUGCAGCUUUCAACGUGGUUUAUUUGGCGAUAAGCUAGAGGCGAGAGAGCGAAGAUUGGCAUUGGCUUGAAUUAAGUUGUCUCUUUGAAGAAAAGCAUCGUUGCUCGCUAUUAUGAGGUAACUCAUGUUGAAAAUUAAAAAAAUGUCAAACAAAUGAAUAAUUAUCUUCACAUUGAACAAUUAUUUCCACGGAUUGGCUAUAGUACUUCCAACAACGUUUUUGUCAAAAUUUGGCCAUAACAAUUAUAUUUUUGUCAAAAUUUGCCCACAAAUCAUAAAUGGCUACCGAGGCUGUAGAAGUUGUUCUGGCAAUCAGUAAAUUUUUUAAUCUUCAAACUUGUACAUAUACUCCCCUAAAAAAUCAAUCCCUUUGACAAUCGUUAAUGGUUCCCAAUGCUAAAAAAGAGAACAGGCAUAUAGUUGGAUCAUUAACAAAGUUUCAAAAUCUACCAAAUUCAAAGCAAUAUGAGAACAUUUCGUGACAUGCCAUCAACUCGAUCAAGUGCCCGUCCCAAAUAAAGCCUAAACAAAGUAUAAAUAUUAACAAAGUGGGGUAAAUAUAAUUAUGCGGUUGUAUAUAUUGAUUUCUUUUACGUAUGGGGCAUUGCAACUUACAUACUAUAACUUACAUGCCCAAAAUAGGACCAUGUGUGGUGAGUGCCUAAACCAAAGUAUCACAUGGCAAUAAUGUUCAAAACAAUCCCAUGAACUGAGAAAAUGACGAGGAUACAAAUUGAAAAAAAAUACAGAAAAAAAACCUCACGCACACUUUGACUGAUACUCCAUAUAAAACGCAAAGGCAUGUCUCAUUGUCUAUUAUUAUUAGCAAACUGGUUAACGAGUCCCAAUGCAUUGCUGGUGACCUGAACAACAUUCGCAACCUGAGCAGUAACCGAAUCCUUCACCUUACCAUUCAUGGACUUGUCCGCAAACUCAUCAAGACAAGUGUUACCAUUGGUCAAAGCAGCACUAGCCCAGGUUUGAACGUUGCUCAUGUGAAACAAAAAGUCCCGACUCUUGACUCGGCCCAAGUUCUUCAUCUCCUGAAACGAUUUGCUGAGCCGGUCCACAGAGUC